ACCAACAUCAGUGGCGCGCAUCCGGAGAACGAGAAGCUUCGCCGGCGUUAGUCUGUUGCACUGGGCGGCACUGCCGGCUGGUGGUGCCGCCCGACUUGCUCAGCAGCGGCUGCCAGACCGUUCGGUUCUGGCUGUGAUUGUAGAACCUUGUAGCUGUCGGGCGCGCCAACGAGGCCCUGCGCGGGGCGUUUUACAAG
rnacentral:misc_RNA from 1 species